UAAUUACUCCCUCCGUCCGAAAGUACUCGUCGCACAAAUGUAUAAAAAUGAAUAUAUCUAGAACUAAAAUACAUCUUGAUACGUCCAUUCCUAUGACAAAUAUUUUCGGACGGAGGAAGUAAUUU
rfam:Hordeum vulgare subsp. vulgare, WGS project CAJW01000000 data, contig: morex_contig_51850